rnacentral:rRNA from 1 species
CCUACGGGUGGCAGCAGUGAGGAAUAUUGGUCAAUGGACGCGAGUCUGAACCAGCCAAGUCGCGUGAGGGAUGACUGCCCUAUGGGUUGUAAACUUCUUUUGUAAAGGAGUAAAGUGAGGCACGUGUGCCGUUUUGUAUGUACUUUAUGAAUAAGGAUCGGCUAACUCCGUGCCAGCAGCCGCGGUAAUACGGAGGAUCCGAGCGUUAUCCGGAUUUAUUGGGUUUAAAGGGUGCGUAGAUGGGAUGUUAAGUCAGUUGUGAAAGUUUGCGGCUCAACCGUAAAAUUGCAAUUGAUACUGGCAGUCUUGAGUACAGGAGAGGUAGGCGGAAUUCGUGGUGUAGCGGUGAAAUGCUUAGAUAUCACGAAGAACUCCGAUUGCGAAGGCAGCAUACUA